UACGGAGGGGGUUAGCGUUGUUCGGAAUUACUGGGCGUAAAGCGCGCGUAGGCGGAUUAGAAAGUUGGGGGUGAAAUCCCGGGGCUCAACCUCGGAACUGCCUCCAAAACUGCUAGUCUAGAGUUCGAGAGAGGUGAGUGGAAUUCCGAGUGUAGAGGUGACACUCGUAGAUAUUCGGAGGAACACCAGUGGCGAAGGCGGCUCACUGGCUCGAUACUGACGCUGAGGUGCGAAAGUGUGGGGAGCAAACAGG
rnacentral:rRNA from 1 species